rnacentral:rRNA from 1 species
GCAAGUCGAGCGGUAACAGGAAUUAGCUUGCUAAUUUGCUGACGAGCGGCGGACGGGUGAGUAAUGCCUGGGAAUAUGCCUUAGUGUGGGGGAUAACUAUUGGAAACGAUAGCUAAUACCGCAUAACGUCUUCGGACCAAAGAGGGGGACCUUCGGGCCUCACGCCAAAAGAUUAGCCCAAGUGGGAUUAGCUAGUUGGUAAGGUAAUGGCUUACCAAGGCAACGAUCCCUAGCUGGUUUGAGAGGAUGAUC